CCCAGCAUUUUGGGAGGCUGAGGUGGGUGAAUCACUUGAGGCCAGAAGCUCAAGAUCAGUCUUGCUAACAUGGCGAAAUCCUGUCUCUAC